UACGAAGGGGGCUAGCGUUGCUCGGAAUUACUGGGCGUAAAGCGCGCGCAGGCGGUCCUUCAAGUCAGGGGUGAAAGCCCAGGGCUCAACCCUGGAAUGGCCUUUGAGACUAGAGGACUUGGGUACGGGAGAGGUGAGUGGAAUUCCGAGUGUAGAGGUGAAAUUCGUAGAUAUUCGGAAGAACACCAGUGGCGAAGGCGGCUCACUGGCCCGUUACCGACGCUCAGGCGCGAUAGCGUGGGGAGCAAACAGG
rnacentral:rRNA from 1 species